rnacentral:lncRNA from 1 species
UAACAAAGAUGUGGCACAAGAUAGGAAAGGCUCCAACUUUAGAGACUUUGGCUUCCAAUUCUGAACUCUUUGUUCUUCAUUUUCAUUUCUUCAUUUCUUUCAUCUCAUUAUUGUUUCCUAGCCUCCUUUGAUCUUCAAUUUCAUCCAUCUAUUUAGCUCCAAGCAUGUGCUAUUCAUUCCAAGCACAAGACUACUCCAAAAAGGCUCCAAAUGCACCUCUUUGCCACAUUAGCCAUAUAAACCUGAAAUUGCACAAAAAUGACUUUAAACACUAAAAUAACUAAGGAAUAACAACAAAAAUGCACAAGAACAAGCCAACUAAGUCGCAUAAAUAUGCUCCUAUCAAAUUCCCCCACACUUAGCUUUUGCUAGUCCUCGAGCAAAACAAAACAAACAGAACAUAACCUAGACCUUCCAACAUUUACCUCAGAGAUUUCCAAUGAAACAUGACAUGCCAUAGAUCACUACUCUUACAGAUUUUAGUCAUCCUUACCCUCGAGCAUAUUUAAUCAUAGUCACCAUUUACUAGCUCACAUUUAAUCAAUUAAAACAACAUUGUGAAUGUAGUAACAUGCCUUAGAGAAUUCCCUCAAUUCCUUACUAGAUAUGCACUCAAUUUUCACUCAGAUUUUCUGACUACACACCCUACACUAGGUAUAUGUGAGAAGAUUGAUGUAAGCAUGAAAACUAGUACUCACAUAUGUUUUAAACAGAGAAAGCAAUUUCUGGAAUUAUUAAUGCAUGUAUAUAUUUAUGAUCUCAUGAACGGAAUGCCACUACUUAGAAGCGAGAACCAGGGAUUCCAUAUGCUCAUACCAAUUCCAAACUCCACAUAUUAACACACAACACUCAAGAUGGAAGUCAAGGGUUGAAACGGGGCUAAGGUAUUGGUUAACAAAGAAAGGUAAGGGGAAACAAACAUUCUUAAAGCAAUAGUGAGAAAAGUAAUGAUUUUGACACUUAGAAUUCACUUUUGUAUGUAAAAAUCUAUUUAAACACACAGGGAAAGUUCAUGCAACACUUAGGGUCAAAUUCAAACUUUUGGACCCUUUCUUCAACAAUCAACACAUGUGAGUUCAUUCUCACUUAUUUUUCAACUCUUUUUCAUACACCUUUCUUCUUCUUUUUCUUUUUCUACGAAAUUUUUUUUUCUCUCUUUUUUUAUUAUUGCCGUGCCCUAUGGCACACAAAAUAUACAAUUUGAAACCUUUCCCCCACACUUGUUUUCUGCAAUAAUGUUACCCAAAAUAAAUUCCUUCUAAGUCAUGCUCUACUAUACUUCAAGAACAAGGGUAUGGAAAGUCUUAUUCUAGGCUAGGUAAGGAUGAUGUGGUUAACAAAGAAAAUAGGCUAAACAAGGCUGAAUAGGGUUUAAACCUACAAAACAAAUGACAAAAGUGGAUUCGGCUAUUUGGCUUUGGUGGUGACUACUAAACAACUUCAUCUUGAAUAUGUGUUAUGCAAAUCAAUGUCAUACUUAGAAUGGAACAGGCAUGAGUUCUAGUAUGCGGAUCUAUAAUGAUGAAACGCAUUCUAAGCAGCAACCAAGCAAAGAAUAAUGAGAUCAUGCAACGACUUUAGAAAACAAGAAUACACAGAUUAAUAACUCUCCAAAUAAACAUUUAAGCUCAGGUCUCUCAGGGAUGUAGCGUUAGUUUGAGUUCAUUCCUUCAAGCAUGUUACAAAAACUGAUUUUAUCCUUUGCGAUUACAUGUGAAUUCAUAAACUAUAACUACAACCAAGCAUAAACCAAAGAGCAUAUCAAACUUCCAUCCAUGUUUAUAACUUUCUUUAACAGUCAUGCACUUAAAAACCAAAUCCUCAUCAUUGUGUUGAAAGGUACCCUAAGACACAAACAAUCACACAAAAACAACUCUUUUUGGCUUUUUCAAAUUUUUAUCAAAUUUUCGGAUUUUUACUUCAAAAUACACCAAAACAGCUUAAAAUGCACUAAAAACACUAAAAAACAGUGAGAAACAACAUUAGAAGUGAUAGGUGAUAUAAUCCCACGAAAAUUGCGUAAAAACACUUGGUUACCCCCCUGCCCUCACACUUAAAUCAAAAAUUGUCCUCAAUGUUGCAAACAUAAACUCACACAAAAGCAAACAAACAACAAACUAAGCUUGGAAACAUAAAACAGCAAAGGGAAGAGUUUAGGAAUGCAAAUCUGGGUUUGGAGUGAAAAUUCCAUCGUUCCUUUGUUGAAUGCAUGGGUUUCCUCCCAAGAAGCGCUUGCUUUAACGUCUUGCAGCCGAACGAAGACCUUCAUUCAAACUUGAUUAAACCCCACGACACGGGGGGUUGUUUUCUCCAUCACAUGCUCCUCGAAUUGCCUCUGAUUUGGCUCUAUGAAUGGAAGAGGGAAUUGGUCCUCCCUGAUUGUGGCAUUUAGCUUCCUAAAGUCAAUGUAAAUGCUCCCACCAUCAUAGAUUCGAUUGGAGACCUGCACCAAAGAAGGUAACAACCUAUUAGUUGAAAUAGAAUUUGGAAUUGGACUAGAUGACUUACCAAUGUGUUGCAAUGAAGUGGCAGCACUGUCAACAGAUUUUCAAAUGGUGUUUUCGGCCAUAUUAUGCAUUUCAAGGUUAGUGGUGUGUUCUUUGUGCUUCACUCCAAUUCCCUCUUCUUUGGUGGUUGGGAAUUCAUUCUUCUCAAUUGGUGCUGAAUUUUCCUGCCCUACAUCUUUAAUUACAUGAUAGGAGCAUAUUUAUGCGACUUAGUUAGCUUGUUUCUUGGCAUUUAUGUUGUUAGUUCAUAGUUAUUUUAGUAUUUUAAGCUAUUUUCGUGUGUUUGUAGGUCCAAAAGGUUAAUGUGGCAAAGAAGUGCAUUUUGGAGCAUUUUUGGGCAUGGAAUGGAUGGCACAUGCUUGGAGCAAAAGGAAUGGACGAAAUUUGAUGUUUGUGCAUCAUCCUCUCCCUAUAAAUAACCAUUUUACAUCCACUCAUUUCACCCAACACAUUCACAUACCACUACAUCCACUCAUUUCACCCAACACAUCCAUUCUCUAAACAUCCACCCACUACACCCAUUACAUCCACUCAUUACCAAACACUCAUCCACUACACCCAUUACAUCCACUCAUUACCAAACAUCCACCCACUACACCCAUUACAUCCACUCAUUACCACAACACUCACCCACUACACCCAUUACAUCCACUCAUUACAACUCCAUACACUCAUCUCCCUAGCCUAUAAAUACAUCCACCCUUCACCAUAAUGUGGGGGCAAUCAUCCAAAGACACCACAUCAUCUACACAAUUCUCCACCCUUCACCAUAACUUACCUAUAUCCAUCCACCACCACAAGAGACCAUCCAUUCACCACUCACACCUUGGUGCUGCAUAUUUGCAAGGAAGGAGGAUUGCUUGGAGUUGUGCUAGUCAUUCAAUUUGGAUUGCUGGAGCAUUCUAG